rnacentral:rRNA from 1 species
ACGAACGCUGGCGGCGUGCUUAACACAUGCACGUCGAACGGAAAGGCCCUGCUUUUGUGGGGUGCUCGAGUGGCGAACGGGUGAGUAACACGUGAGUAACCUGCCCUUGACUUUGGGAUAACUUCAGGAAACUGGGGCUAAUACCGGAUAGGAGUUCCUGCUGCAUGGUGGGGGUUGGAAAGUUUCGGCGGUUGGGGAUGGACUCGCGGCUUAUCAGCUUGUUGGUGGGGUUGUGGCUUACCAAGGCUUUGACGGGUAGCCGGCCUGAGAGGGUGACCGGCCACAUUGGGACUGAGAUACGGCCCAGACUCCUACGGGAGGCAGCAGUGGGGAAUAUUGCACAAUGGGCGGAAGCCUGAUGCAGCAACGCCGCGUGCGGGAUGACGGCCUUCGGGUUGUAAACCGCUUUCGCCUGUGACGAAGCGUGAGUGACGGUAAUGGGUAAAGAAGCACCGGCUAACUACGUG